rnacentral:rRNA from 1 species
AAUUCGCCCUUAGAGUUUGAUCCUGGCUCAGGACUAACGCUGGCGGCGUGCCUAAUACAUGCAAGUCGAACGGUCGUGCGUUUGUAGCAAUAUGGACGUACGAUAGUGGCGAACGGGUGAGUAACACGUGGAAAACCUACCCUCGAGCGGGGGAUAACUCCGGGAAACUGGGGCUAAUACCCGCAUGACAUCCCAACCUGGCAUCGGGAGGGGAUCAAAGCCGAAAGGCACUUGAGGAUGGUUCCGCGGCCUAUCAGCUAGUUGGCGGGGUAACGGCCCACCAAGGCGACGACGGGUAGCCGGCCUGAGAGGGCGAUCGGCCACAAGGGGACUGAGACACGGCCCCUACUCCUACGGGAGGCAGCAGUAGGGAAUUUUGCUCAAUGGGGGAAACCCUGAAGCAGCGACGCCGCGUGGGCGACGAAAUCCUUCGGGAUGUAAAGCCCUUUUAACCGGGACGAAAUACAUGACGGUACCGGUGGAAUAAGCCUCGGCUAACUCCGUGCCAGCAGCCGCGGUAAGACGGGGGAGGCAAGCGUUGUCCGGAAUCACUGGGUGUAAAGGGCGUGUAGGCGGGCCGGCUAGUCGGUUGUUAAAUCUCUCCGCUCAACGGAGAAGCUGCGGCCGAUACUUCCGGUCUUGAGUGCGGCAGGGGAGGAUGGAAUUCCUGGUGUAGCGGUGAAAUGCGUAGAUAUCAGGAGGAACACCGGUGGCGAAGGCGGUCCUCUGGGCCUGCACUGACGCUGAGUGCGCGAAAGCUGGGGUAGCAAACAGAAUUAGAUACUCUGGUAGUCCCAGCCCUAAACG